AGAGUUUGAUCCUGGCUCAGAUUGAACGCUGGCGGCAUGCCUUACACAUGCAAGUCGAACGGCAGCACGGGUGCUUGCACCUGGUGGCGAGUGGCGAACGGGUGAGUAAUAUAUCGGAACGUACCUUAUCGUGGGGGAUAACGCAGCGAAAGCUGCGCUAAUACCGCAUACGCCCUGAGGGGGAAAGCGGGGGACCGUAAGGCCUCGCGCGGUUAGAGCGGCCGAUAUCUGAUUAGCUUGUUGGUGGGGUAAAAGCCCACCAAGGCGACGAUCAGUAGCUGGUCUGAGAGGACGAUCAGCCACACUGGGACUGAGACACGGCCCAGACUCCUACGGGAGGCAGCAGUGGGGAAUUUUGGACAAUGGGGGCAACCCUGAUCCAGCAAUGCCGCGUGAGUGAAGAAGGCCUUCGGGUUGAAAAGCUCUUUUGACAGGGAAGAAACAGCAGCUCUAACACAGUCUGCGAAUGACGGUACCUGAAGAAUAAGCACCGGCUAACUACGUGCC
rnacentral:rRNA from 1 species